CACGUAGGGGGCGAGCGUUGUCCGGAAUCAUUGGGCGUAAAGAGCUCGUAGGCGGCUCGGUAAGUCGGGUGUGAAACCCCCAGGCUCAACCUGGGGACGCCACCCGAUACUGCUGUGGCUAGAGUCCAGUAGGGGAGUGUGGAAUUCCCGGUGUAGCGGUGAAAUGCGUAGAUAUCUGGAGGAAUACCGGUGGCGAAGGCGGCAUCCUGGACCGAGAUUGACACUGAUGAGCGAAAGCCAGGGGAGCAAACAGG
rnacentral:rRNA from 1 species